CCACAGUUUAGGGCUGGCAAAGGAGAAGGCUCGGCCAGACAGUUGGUUUGGAGAUCUGUGUUGGGUUAGGAGAGAGGAUCGGAGACUUCGCUGAGGUACAUACACAGAGAUGAGAUGUUUGAGAUAGUCAGGAAUGUUAUCAUUGUAGAGGCAGUCAUGAGUGAUACUAGUGAUUU